UACGGAAGGCAGCAGUGGGGAAUAUUGCACAAUGGGCGAAAGCCUGAUGCAGCUAUGCCGCGUGUAUGAAGAAGGUCUUAGGGUUGUAAAGUACUUUCAUCGGGGAGGAAAAAACAAAACUAAUAAUUUUAUUUCUUGACGUUACCCGAAAAAGAAGCACCGGCUAACUCCGUGCCAGCAGCCGCGGUAAUACGGAGGGUGCUAGCGUUAAUCAGAAUUACUGGGCGUAAAGAGCACGUAGGUGGUUUUUUAAGUCAGAUGUGAAAUCCCUGGGCUUAACCUAGGAACUGCAUUUUGAAACUGAAAUACUAGAGUAUCGUAGAGGGAGGUAGAAUUCUAGGUGUAGCGGUGAAAUGCGUAGAUAUCUGGAGGAAUACCUGUGGCGAAAGCGGCCUCCUAAACGAAUACUGACACUGAGGUGCGAAAGCGUGGGGAGCAAACAGGGAUUAGAUACC
rnacentral:rRNA from 1 species